ensembl:lncRNA
CCCCGGCCGGGAGGCAGCCGCUGGCCAGCGGAACAUCGGCCCCGCAGGACGCGGCACCCUCGGGGUAGGUGGCAGGGGGCACCUGGGGGGUGUGGGGCGCAGCGUGGGGACAGCCUCAGCCUGUGGAGGUGGUGACAGUGUUUCUGUCCCCUCUGCAGGGACCCGAGCCCCCCGGUACGGGGCAGAGUGGCCCCCGGGCUCACACCCACGCGGAGGGAGAGGUCAGCAUCACUGCCACGGGACAGGCCAGAGCUGGACCUCGGCCUAGAGCUGGGUGCCAGUGGAUGCCACCCCUCUUCCCUGUCCUCCGCCGCAGCCUCCGAGUCAGAGCCCUCGCCCGCCAGGCCCCGGGCACCCCCCGCCCUGCGGAAGCACCUUGGGAAGCCGCCGGGGCCGGUGACAUCCCGGGGACAGCACACGGGUGACACAGGGACACGGUACCAGGCGGGGACAACGCGUGCCACCCCAGCACCCCGAGAAGAGCCGGGCACCUCGGGGUGUCCCCGAUGUCACAGGGGCAGGAUGGCAUCAGCUGCAUCUGGGGGAGGUGACACCCCCCGGCAGCCCCAGCACAGCACCCCCAGGAGAACGUCCUGCCCCAGCUGCCGGGCACCCAUGGGCCCCUCUGCGCCGGGCAGCAGGGACACAGCCACACACGGUGGGUGACACGGG